rnacentral:rRNA from 1 species
GAUGAACGCUGGCGGCGUGCCUAAUACAUGCAAGUCGAGCGAACGGACGAGAAGCUUGCUUCUCUGAUGUUAGCGGCGGACGGGUGAGUAACACGUGGAUAACCUACCUAUAAGACUGGGAUAACUUCGGGAAACCGUAGCUAAUACCGGAUAAUAUUUUGAACCGCAUGGUUCAAAAGUGAAAGACGGUCUUGCUGUCACUUAUAGAUGGAUCCGCGCUGCAUUAGCUAGUUGGUAAGGUAACGGCUUACCAAGGCAACGAUGCAUAGCCGACCUGAGAGGGUGAUCGGCAACACUGGAACUGAGACACGGUCCAGACUCCUACGGGAGGCAGCAGUAGGGAAUCUUCCGAAAAGGGCGAAAGCCUGACGGAGCAACGCCGCGUGAGUGAUGAAGGUCUUCGGAUCGUAAAACUCUGUUAUUAGGGAAGAACAUAUGUGUAAGUAACUGUGCACAUCUUGACGGUACCUAAUCAGAAAGCCACGGCUAACUACGUG